GUGUCAUAUGAAAAGAAGAAAUUGACAAGAAUAGAAGAAGAUCCUUGGCCUGACAACAGAUAUAUGGGUAAGGCAUUGCCACCUACUUCAUGGCAUCUAAUUAUCAUUUUCN
ensembl:snRNA